GAUGAACGCUAGCUACAGGCUUAACACAUGCAAGUCGAGGGGAAACGACAUCGAAAGCUUGCUUUUGAUGGGCGUCGACCGGCGCACGGGUUAGUAACGCGUAUCCAACCUGCCCAUCACUUGGGAAUAACCUUGCGAAAGUAAGACUAAUACCCAAUGACAUCCCACGAAGACAUCUGAAUGGGAUUAAAGAUUUAUCGGUGAUGGAUGGGGAUGCGUCUGAUUAGCUUGUUGGCGGGGUAACGGCCCACCAAGGCAACGAUCAGUAGGGGUUCUGAGAGGAAGGUCCCCCACAUUGGAACUGAGACACGGUCCAAACUCCUACGGGAGGCAGCAGUGAGGAAUAUUGGUCGAUGGGCGAGAGCCUGAACCAGCCAAGUAGCGUGCAGGAUGACGGCCCUAUGGGUUGUAAACUGCUUUUAUAAGGGAAUAAAGUGGGUCUCGUGAGACUUUUUGCAUGUACCUUAUGAAUAAGGACCGGCUAAUUCCGUG
rnacentral:rRNA from 1 species